rnacentral:rRNA from 1 species
ACGCUCGACACCUACGGGAGGCAGCAGUGAGGAAUAUUGGUCAAUGGGCGCUAGCCUGAACCAGCCAAGUAGCGUGAAGGAUGAAGGCUCUAUGGGUCGUAAACUUCUUUUAUAUAAGAAUAAAGUGCAGUAUGUAUACUGUUUUGUAUGUAUUAUAUGAAUAAGGAUCGGCUAACUCCGUGCCUGCAGCCGCGGUAAUCUGAGGCGGGCUGGCAAGGC